AGGCGGGGCCGAGCUGCGGACGCGCGCGUGGCCGUUGGAACCUCUCCCGGGGCCGGAGACGGUUGGUGCCGUUGGAGCUCUGGGCAUGCGCAGAUCGCGGCGCGGGGGGAGAGGGGGAGAGCUGCCGCCUCCAGGGUUUCCAAUUUCCAAACUAGAUGUGAUCUUGCUGCUGGACCGAGGGGAAGAGCCGUGGGUCCCGGACCUCCAGGGCUCUGAGAAAGAAGUGCUCCCCAGAGCUGCCUGCACAGGUGUUGGGAUGGUGAGUGAGAAUGAGGAGGAGAAACCCCAAC